GACGAACGUUGGCGGCGUGCUUAACACAUGCAAGUCGAACGGAAAGGCCCUUCGGGGUACUCGAGUGGCGAACGGGUGAGUAACACGUGGGUGAUCUGCCCAGCACUUUGGGAUAAGCCUGGGAAACUGGGUCUAAUACCGAAUAGGACCACGCGCUUCAUGGUGUGUGGUGGAAAGCUUUUGCGGUGUGGGAUGGGCCCGCGGCCUAUCAGCUUGUUGGUGGGGUAAUGGCCUACCAAGGCGACGACGGGUAGCCGGCCUGAGAGGGUGACCGGCCACACUGGGACUGAGAUACGGCCCAGACUCCUACGGGAGGCAGCAGUGGGGAAUAUUGCACAAUGGGCGCAAGCCUGAUGCAGCGACGCCGCGUGAGGGAUGACGGCCUUCGGGUUGUAAACCUCUUUCAAUAGGGACGAAGCGCAAGUGACGGUACCUAUAGAAGAAGCACCGGCCAACUACGUGCCAGCAGCCGCGGUAAUACGUAGGGUGCGAGCGUUGUCCGGAAUUACUGGGCGUAAAGAGCUCGUAGGUGGUUUGUCGCGUUGUUCGUGAAAACUCACAGCUUAACUGUGGGCGUGCGGGCGAUACGGGCAGACUAGAGUACUGCAGGGGAGACUGGAAUUCCUGGUGUAGCGGUGGAAUGCGCAGAUAUCAGGAGGAACACCGGUGGCGAAGGCGGGUCUCUGGGCAGUAACUGACGCUGAGGAGCGAAAGCGUGGGGAGCGAACAGGAUUAGAUACCCUGGUAGUCCACGCCGUAAACGGUGGGUACUAGGUGUGGGUUCCUUCCUUGGGAUCCGUGCCGUAGCUAACGCAUUAAGUACCCCGCCUGGGGAGUACGGCCGCAAGGCUAAAACUCAAAGGAAUUGACGGGGGCCCGCACAAGCGGCGGAGCAUGUGGAUUAAUUCGAUGCAACGCGAAGAACCUUACCUGGGUUUGACAUGCACAGGACGCCGGCAGAGAUGUCGGUUCCCUUGUGGCCUGUGUGCAGGUGGUGCAUGGCUGUCGUCAGCUCGUGUCGUGAGAUGUUGGGUUAAGUCCCGCAACGAGCGCAACCCUUGUCCUAUGUUGCCAGCGGGUUAUGCCGGGGACUCGUAGGAGACUGCCGGGGUCAACUCGGAGGAAGGUGGGGAUGACGUCAAGUCAUCAUGCCCCUUAUGUCCAGGGCUUCACACAUGCUACAAUGGCCGGUACAAAGGGCUGCGAUGCCGUGAGGUGGAGCGAAUCCUUUCAAAGCCGGUCUCAGUUCGGAUCGGGGUCUGCAACUCGACCCCGUGAAGUCGGAGUCGCUAGUAAUCGCAGAUCAGCAACGCUGCGGUGAAUACGUUCCCGGGCCU
rnacentral:rRNA from 1 species